rnacentral:rRNA from 1 species
GAUCAUGGCUCAGGAUGAACGCUGGCGGCGUGCUUAACACAUGCAAGUCGAGCGAAGCACUUAAGUUUGAUUCUUCGGAUGAAGACUUUUGUGACUGAGCGGGCGGACGGGUGAGGUAACGCGUGGGUAACCUGCCUCAUACAGGGGGAUAACAGUUAGAAAUGGCUGCUAAUACCGCAUAAGACCACGGUACUGCAUGGUACAGUGGUAAAAACUCCGGUGGUAUGAGAUGGACCCGCGU